UUCUUUUAAAAAAAAAAUAUCCUCGAAGACGAAUAACUACGGUUUAAAAAGGUUUUAAUCAUGAUAUAAGCUCAAUAAUAUAAGCACAAUCUCUACAAUAAGCAAAAAUGUUUUUGUAUUUCAACCUUAGUUAUAUUAUUGCCAUGCUUUAAUGGAUUUGUGUACUUUGAAUAGAUACACAAUAAUAUGGAUCCUUUUUCAGUUAUAUAAUAAUUGUUUGUUGUGUCAUGUCAUUUAUUACAGUUUUGCUGUAAUAACUGGCAUUACAGCAGUUAGUACAGCAAUAUAGUUUAUUACAUUUCGCUUCUAGAUGCGUAGUUGUUUGCAAUAAGAAGGAACUACUUUGAGCGGAUGAACAAAUAAGUCUUUGCCCUAGCCGAAUGACGUGGAGCCAGAUGGAUAUAAAUAGCAAGGACGCCAUUUCGUUUCACAAAACAUCGACGCACUUCUUGAUCUCACGUAAGGCAGGCGAACGGUACAGGUUGACGCGUUUUUCUUUUUUGAUCAAAAGAUAAUCCUAAAAAGAACAUGCAUUUAUUUAUUUUUUAUUUAAUUGCGUAGCACAAUAUGUUUACUGCUAUAAAUCGUUCUUUUUUACCGUUCAUUUUUUACAUUUGGCUCCAGUCUCAAUAGACGUUAUUUUUCUCAUGCUUUUUAACUUAUUACCUAGUAAUGACCCUAUUAUUAAGCUAAAAGCGAUUACUAUUUUUUUUUUCUUUUUUCUUAACUUGAUUGCUAAGUUAACGCCUAGCUUGGUUUGAAAAACGUAGUUUCAGAACGCUUAAGAUAAACAUUACUCGAUUAUCUUUUGUUUUCUCAGACUAAAUGUUUUUUGUUGAGCUUUCUACAAGAAAUCGGGUUAAGCUGUUUUUCGAGAAAUUGUUUUUUUCAGUUGGUAUUCUUAACGGCUGUUGUCUUAAUAUGGGCGCCGUGACGUAAAACUUGGCAAAUGUUGGCCGUUGGUUGACUCAUAAUAACGCCGUGACGUAAUGGGCAGAAAAGCGGGGAGUGGUCAGGAUGUUUCUAGACGCAUGCCCAACUAUGGCUUUGAGCUGCCGGUAGUUAAUAGAGUAUAAUUCCGUGUUUUUUACGGUAGCAUAACCUAAGAGAUCGAGUAGUUGCUUUUCUGUGGUGAGCCUUUCAGUUUUCCUCUUUGUCCUACUUAAAUGGCUUAACAUGUCUGUUAAUGUUUCGAAUGCUAUUUUGAGCUGCCGGUAAAGUUAACGGGGAAAAAAACGGUAGCAUGAAUUUAAAAAAAAAAAAACGAAUAGGGGUGUUUGUGUGAUGAGGCUUUUAGAUUUUUUAUCCGAGUUAAACAGGCUAAAAUCUUAUCAGUUAAGUUUUGCCUAUGGCUAUUUCGAGCUACCGAUACAGUUAACGAAUAAUAACCCCCGCCUCCCAUUGUUUACGAUAGAAUAACCUAAGAAAACAAGUAGUUGUGUUUCUGUGGUUAGCCUUUGAGGUUUUUCUGUUUUGUCCAAUUUAAAUGGCUUUGUCUUAACAUGUCAGUUAAUUUUUCUAAUGCCUAUGGGAGUGUUGAGCUACCAAUGCAGUUAACAAAUAACCUCCUUUGUUUAUGGUGUCUAACCUAAGAAAACAAAUAGUUGUGUUUCUGUGGUGAGCCUUUGAGAUUUUUCUUUUUUGUCCGUCUUAAACAGCUUAAACUUGACGUUAUAUCAGUUGCUUUUCCAAAUGCCUACGGCAGUAUAGAUUUGUCUAUUUACAUUGACAUGCAGUUUGGAGAAGACUUAAAGGCUUAGAAUUUCUUUUUACCUAUGGAUCGUUACCAUUACUAUUAUAACGCCAUAAAUAACAGACUUCUCUUUUAAAAAAAAAAAAAAAAAAGGACCAGAGUACAGAAUAAUGGCUUAGUUGUAUUCAUCUCAAGUGGAUCGCAAGUUUAGUUCUCAAUAUAAAAAAAAUUUAGUCAAUCGAAGAAGAAGAAAAAAAUUUUGACUUACA